GUGCUCGCUUCAGCAGCACAUAUACUAAAGUUGGAACGAUACAGAGAAGAUUAGCAUGGCUCCUGAGCAGGGAUGGCAUGCAACUUAGUGAAGCAUUCCAUAUUUAA